rnacentral:rRNA from 1 species
UACGGAGGGUGCAAGCGUUAUCCGGAUUCACUGGGUUUAAAGGGUGCGUAGGUGGGUUGGUAAGUCAGUGGUGAAAUCUCCGAGCUUAACUUGGAAACUGCCAUUGAUACUAUCAAUCUUGAAUACCGUGGAGGUCAGCGGAAUAUGUCAUGUAGCGGUGAAAUGCUUAGAUAUGACAUAGAACACCAAUUGCGAAGGCAGCUGACUACGCGAAUAUUGACACUGAUGCACGAAAGCGUGGGGAUCAAACAGG